GUGGUCUGGUCACAUGAUGUUGUUAGCAGAGGCUGAGGAGCAUUAACAUCUGAGCUGAAUCAAAGCGCACAUCACUCCCUACAUUGAAAGCACACUUGGUACCAACCAUCAGGCAGCAUGUCGUAUGGGUCCAUUGAUGGAGGCUCCUUUGGCAGUCGCAACCCAUUUGGAGGUCUGACGAGGCAGGGCUACCAGCCAGUAGCCACACAGGUCAGCCCCUCAGAACUGCAAGAUGUGUUUCAGGAGACCUCCUCCAAUAUCUUCCAGAUCAACGCCAACGUUGUUGCACUAGAGAAGAAUCUACAGUCACUGGGGACAUCUAGAGAUACAGAAGAGCUACGACAGAGUCUACACUCCAUGCAGCAGCAAAACAACAAAGUCAUCACCAGCACAAGCCAACUCAUCAAACAGCUCUCUGAUAUAAUCAGUGGCUCUUCACGGCAAGACCGUCUGCACUUGACCAGACUAAAGACCGAACUCUCGGAGUCUGUGCAGCGCUAUGGGGAUCUGCAGAAGAAAAUUGCAGAGCGUUCAAGGGCCUUACUCUCUCCGGCAAAGAAAGACACAAAGAAGAGUCCUCAGACCUCGUUCGCUGAGCAGAUGGAGGAGGGUCCGCUGUUUGGAGAAGCAGUAGGCUCAGAGGAUGUGGCUCAGGCUUUCCUGUCUGAGAUCAGCGAGGAGGACGUAGAGGUGCUCCACCACAGAGAGGAGGCCCUACUGCAGAUUGAAAGGGACAUGCUGGACGUCAGUCAAAUCAUGAAAGAUCUGGCCAGUAUGGUCCAUGAACAAGGCGACGCCAUAGACAGCAUUGAAGAUUACAUCCAGACUACAUCAUCCAAUGUGGAAUCAGCCAAUCAAGAGCUUGCAAAGGCCAACCAGUACCAGAGGCGGCUGAGGAAGAGGAAGUGCUACCUCCUGCUAGGCGGAGCCAUCAUCCUCACCAUCCUCAUCGUUAUAAUUUCCGUUUCAGCCAGAAAAUGAGAUUGACCAAUGAGGUAGCUGCUGUCAUUACCUUGUUGCCAUUGCGCUCCAGCAAAGUCUGAUCCCUGACCUGAGCAGCUGGUUUCCAGUAGGAGGGAGCAACAACCUACCUGCAACAACGUCUCAACUCCAUCAUCCCUGCCCAGUGUGCAUAAUCCUGGAUCUGAGACUUUUCUCAGCAUUCCGAUUCAUCAAGAGUGAGCCCCAGUCUGAGCCGCUUGUGUAAUCAUCAUUGUAUUUCUUUUUAUUUCUUUAUUUUUUUUUCUGUGGCUCAAAGAUUUAAUAAAAGCUGAUGUCAAACAUGUGGAUUUUGUUACAUCAGUCCUGAAGAGGGUGUGUAUUAGUGACCGUCAGACUAACUAAACUAACUUGUAACUAAAAAUGGACUUCUACCUCCUAACAAUUUAUGGUUCGGUUCAAGCUAUGGAACUAGUGUUUGCGUUCGGAAAAACGUAAUGAUAGAACUCCAAUAGUACACAAAUAAGUUAUAAUAUUCAACCCUUUUUUUCAACACCAUUAUUUAUAAUUUAAAACCUUAGAUUUGUGUCCACAACAACUUGUCUUGACUGACUUGAUGUCCAAGUGGUGCCAAAAUAUUUCUAUCCUAAUUUGUGGCAUUGAAUCAUGUUCCUGUUUUUCUGUGAGAUCAGAAAGGAUAAGGAAAUUGACCAUCACAGUCCUCACUCACUAAUGGAUUUUUACUGAUGCAGACUUUGCAAUUUAAUCAGUGAGAUAUUGUAGCUCAUUAUUGGUAUAAGUAUUGUUUGAUCAAAUACAUCUUCUCAAAUCAAGUUUGACAUUAACAUAAAGUUAUGCUUCUGUUUUGCCAACCCUAACUACAAUAGUAGAAAAUAUAUAAAAUAAAUCCUCUUUCUAUGUCCCUUGUCAUCUGGUUAGCUUGGUUUUCAAGAAUUCCUCCCAGCUCCACAUUGAACCUAAUUGAUAUGUUGAAUGAACCCAAGAACAGCUAAACCACAACUGCACUCGAACAUCAGUGAGUCAGUCAUCUUAUCCUUAGAGCAGUUCCAGGUAGCCAGUGGACUCGGCCGGAUUGCUUCUGAGUGUCGGCUAGCUCGGCUGUGUUACAGCUCGAUGUGAGUCAGCUUUGGCCCUUUUCAUUCAUGCCAUAUGUAGCUGUUACAGACAUGGCCACCGGGUUUAUUGCCAACCAGCACUGAAAUAGGUUCUGGCCCAAUGAUGGCUGCCAGACCUGGGCUGAAUCUGUCAUUAUAGAAACGGGCCUAAACUAGUUGAGACAUGGCAGCCGGGUUUAUCGGCAACUAGCACUGAAACAGGCUCCGGCCUGUUGAUGGCUGCCAAACCAGGGCUAUAUCUGGCAUUAUGGAAUCGGGCCUAUAAUGGUUGAAACAUGGCAGCUGGAUUUACUGGCAACCAGCACUGAAACAGGUUCUGGCCAGUCUAUGCCUGCAGAAUCUGGGCCACAUCUGGCAAACAGGCCUAUUCUGGUUGAGACAUGGCCGCCGGGUUUAUCGGCAACCAGCACUAAAACAGGUUCUGGCCCAAUGAUGGCUGCCAGACCUGGGCUGAAUCUGUCAUUAUAGAAACGGGCCUAAACUAGUUGAGACAUGGCAGCUGGGUUCAUCAGCAUCCAGUACUAAAACACGCUCCGGACCGUUGAUGGCUGCAGAAUCUGGGCCCAAUCUGGCUUUAUAGAAACAGCCCUUUUCAGGCUAUGACAUGGAUUUAUUGGCAACCAGCACUGAAACAGGAUUUGACCGAUUAAUAGCUGCUAAACCUGGGCCAGAUCUGGCAUUACAGAAUGUUGAGAGACAGAAAAUUGGUUGUCUGUUGGCUUGCACUGUUUUUAGUAAGUAUUAAUAAGUAUUUUUUUUAUUUGGGGGCCUGUCUAAAUUAACACAUUAAUCUAUGUGAUGUGAGAUGAAUGCAAUAAAAUAUUUUAAUCCCCUUUACAAGGGUCACAUUCAUUUACUUACGGCAAACCGGAAGUAAACAACGAUGAAACAAAACCGCCGCUAGUUGCAGUCAGUUAUCUUUGAUCGCAGAGUCCGAGGUGGAGAUGAAGUUGAAGAUGGAGAUAGCUUUUUGCAUUGGAAGGGAAACAAGAAGAGGAAUUUCUCCACGUGUCAAACAGAACGUGAAUGGGAACACUUUACAAGCUAGCUGCACGGCUAAGCUAGCUGCUAGGCUACGCAGUGUUUCUCCUAGGUUUACAACUUCCGGGGGGCGGAGUCGGGGGGUGCUGUGUGCUGCUGAAGAUUCGACCGGCGAACGGUACGGCUGAUGGGUCGUUGACGGCGCCCUGCUGUUAUAAUGGUAGGGGAAACACUCGCUACCUCUAUGUCAACACAUACCCUGCGCUGCACACGGUCUGAAGAGUACCACCACAGUUGCCCUUCCAGACAGUGGUUGGCGUAAGGAGUGAGAAUGGUAUGUAAUACUAUUGAUAUAUUUACUAUUCUUGUUUUGAGAUCUCACAACUCUUUCUUGUCUCUGUUUCCACAAGGCUGCGACCUCUGGAUUUUGGCCGGAAUCAAAGGUUGCUACCCAGUGGCGGCACGGAUCUCCUCCUGUCUGACUGACAUCUCUCAGUGGAUGUCCGCUACCAUCUGAAGAUCAACCCCGACAAGACUGAACUACUUCUCUUUCCCGGAAGACCCAGUCGACCACUACAGCUCAUCCAGAAUGCAGCAGCUCGACUGGUCUUCAACCUUCCAAAAUUCUUCCAAACCACACAACUUCUCCGUUCUCUUCACUGGUUACCAGUGGCUGCCAACAUCCAGUUCAAAACAUCGGUUCUCAUGUGAAUGGAUUGGGUCCACUCUACAUCUCAACCCGUACACGCCGCUCUGCAUCUGUCAAGCUGCUUGUUCCUCCCUCUCUGAGAGAAAAGCACUUGGCGAGAUCGCGACUCUGUUCCUGCUCUCUGAUGACAUCAGGACUGCAGAGAGCCUUUACAUCUUCCACCGAAAGCUCAAGACAGGAGGCACACAUGGAAUUUGGAGCUCAGUGCUGUAGAUACAAUUACAAAGUAGCCAUUAAACUGAGCUUUAUUCUUCAUACCAGCUCCGUCUUUUUUAUUUUUAGUUGGUCUUUCACACUGUUGGCAUUCAAACAUUUACUACCCUCAGUACUUCUGCUGUCCUCUGAUUCACUUCCAUUAACCCAGAGGGGGGAAAGGAGAUGCAAAUAAAACAAGAUCUAAAAAGAAAAGAAAAUCGAUAAAUGUUUCAUCAGAUUUAAAAGACGGCGUUAACCUCAGUUUUAUAGGUGCUGUGCUAAAAUUUCAGGGUGGCCAAGUCCUUGGGUUUAAAAGAAAGGUUUAUGGUGCUGUAAACAUAGCCCAAUUCUCUUUUCCAUUUCGACCACAUAAAGCCGUGACAGAUAAGUAAAUUCACACAGGGGAGUAGAAGCUCUUUGCACCAGCUCUUUCUCCCUCCCGUGCAGGUUUAUCUACAUUUACCAAUUUCUAUGCAUUGAAGUGCACAUGAAGGGUUAAUACUGGGAUCAGGCUUCUAAUUAUCAGUUAAUUGUAGAAACCAAUGUCAGGGAUGACAUGCCUAGAAAUGUGCUUUUAACACUCAAUGGAAUAUACCAUUAUUAUCUUAUAGACCAUCAAACACUGAAAGUCUACAGCUGAUUUGAUAACAUCCUUGAAUGCGGUGCGGUUUUAUGACUAAUACAUGGUAUACACCAAUGACAAUCUUAAUCUGGAUAUCUGAAAACAAUCUUAGAUUGACCUAAAGUCUAGAAGUGAAAUUGAUCUGUUUUGAGAUUGUAUGCCAGUUCAUCAUGUUUGAUUUCCAAAUGUCUCGAUUGAAUGUACACUAUAUUAGGCCAUCAAGUUUCUCCCUAAAAGACAUUUAAAAGAGUACGCCAGUAAUUUAGUAUUGCUCUCCUUUAACAUUGACAUGACAGGCAGUCUGGGUUGAAAGAUUGAAACUAAUGCAGCAGAACCUUAUAUUUAGGGUCCUCGCUACGACUUUUCAAGGAAUUAUUAUUCUCACAACUAGUCGUAAAAGUAAAAGUUGCAUUUUUCCAGAAGAAAUAUUAAACUAUGUGUGUAGGGCACAGAUAAAAAAAAACACCUUUCUAAAGAUUUCGAAGGAAGUUGGGUCAUGUAAGGUAUUUUGGGAUGGAACAUCAGAAUGUCCUGGAUAUCCAUAAGUGACACCUUGAGGAUGUGUACUAUCAACAUGAAGUGGAAUGGUCAUAACAGUAUUGUGUUUCCUUUUAAAUCCUAAUCUGAAAAUGUCCAAAUGUAGUCUGGUGAUGGACUUGUCACGGUUUGGGUCCUCUUCCUGUCUUAUUUUGUAGUUUUCUUGUCUCUCGUGUCUCUGGGUGAGCUUCACUUCCUGUCCUGUCCUGUGAUUGCCUGAGGGUUCCCACCUGUGUCCAAUCACCUGCACCUCCCUUGUGUAUUUAAGCCCCAUGUGCCUGUUGUCCCUUGUCGAGUCAUCGUCUUAGUCAGUCAUCGUUGGUGCACGUCCUUUUGCUUCUGUUCGGUUUUGUGCUGAAUAAAGAGCACAUUUUGGAAAC